rnacentral:rRNA from 1 species
UUUCCGGGAAAAAAAAGUCGUAACAAGGUUUCCGUAGGUGAACCUGCGGAAGGAUCAUUCAUAAUAAGUGUUUUAUGGCACUUUUUAAAUCCAUAUCCACCUUGUGUGCAAUGUCAGUUGUUCCUUGCGAACAACUAAACAUCAACUCAACUUAACCUUUAGUCUGAAAAAUAUUAUGAAUAACUAAUUCAAAAUACAACUUUCAACAACGGAUCUCUUGGCUCUCGCAUCGAUGAAGAACGCAGCGAAAUGCGAUACGUAAUGUGAAUUGCAGAAUUCAGUGAAUCAUCGAAUCUUUGAACGCAUAUUGCGCUCUUUGGUAUUCCGAAGAGCAUGCUUGUUUGAGUAUCAGUAAACACCUCAAAACUCUUGGUUUUUUCCAUGAGUUUUGGACUUGAGCAAACCCAACGCCUUCUCUCACGAUUUGGCGGCGGGUUGCUUGAAAUGCAGGUGCAGCUGGACAUUCUCCUGAGCUAAAAGCAUAUUUAUUUAGUCCCGUCAAACGGAUUAUUACUUUUGCUGCAGCUAACAUAAAGGGAGUUUUGACCGUAUUGGCUGACUGAUGCAGGAUUUCACAGAGUCGGAAACGAUUCUGUCAAACUCGAUCUCAAAUCAAGUUAGACCUCCCCGUUCUA